CUCCUGCCUUUAGUCAAAGGUUCAUACUUUUACUGAUAUUUGUUUUGAUUUUUCUUUUGAAAAUUCUAUUUUUCCCGUGGGGCUGGCAACGAAGAAGAGGUGGAUAAGACGGCGUCAUCUCCUGAUGGGUAGAUAGAUUACCCCUGGCCCUGGCGGGGAGCUCAACUGGUUGGGAGAGAGAAAAACGAGGAGGGCGAACGUGGGAUGAUCGGAUCGGAGCGCGAUCACGUGGCUCGACCGCGUUGCGUCCCGGCCCACGCUACUGGAACGUGCAUGCACGUUGUAUCCCAGCCCCAGGUCUUUCGCGAUGGAUUCCUUCCAUAUGCCCCGCGCCUCAUCUCCACCGUCCAUCAUUUUCUCUUCGUGUCGGAUUUGAUCUGGGCCAUUGAUUCGGGUGGACCCCGCGGGCGCACAUGGAGGAUGCGGUGUGGUCGCCCUCCGCUCGAGCACGACCACCCUCUCCGGCGCAAGGGAUGAUAAUUUUGUAGCUGGCUUUAUUCCCUU
rnacentral:lncRNA from 1 species